CCUGGUUUACAUGGAUAUAAAAAGGGUCAUUGGAAAGGAAGAUUUUGGAGACUUUGAUUGCAGAGAUAGGGACGUCAACUCUGUCAGAGGCGGACCGAGUACACUGCCUUCGUUGUGUCCUGGGUAGGAGGCUCCAUGUUGCCUUCUUGACCAGACCUUUUGGCCAUUCUCCAGUCUCCCUGGUCUAUUAGUCCUUCACAAUCUGGAUCCAACCUACUUUUCUAGACCAGACCUGCAACUACUUGGCAGUAGGCUAAGAAUUCCCCUCUUCCUUCAAUCAACACCCUUCUAGUAGGAUUAUAUGACUCCUUUCUAUGCAAGCCACCCUAGACUGGUCACAAUCAGUUUCUCAAAGCCUCUUCUAAAAUGUGGUGCCCAGAACCUGACAUCAUAUUUCAGAUACAA